rnacentral:rRNA from 2 species
CCUCGGAUCAGGUAGGGAUACCCGCUGAACUUAAGCAUAUC